UACUCUGAGUGAUGCCCGCUAAGGGCAUCUUUUGGCACCUCUAAAAAUGGUGCCAAAUAAGGGGUGGGCAAGUCUGGUGCCAGCAGCCGCGGUUNANACCAGGAC
rnacentral:rRNA from 1 species